ACUCAAAGGAAUUGACGGGGACUUGCACAAGCGGUGGAUCAUGCGGCUUAAUUCGAUGGCAAACGAAGAACCUCACCAGGGUUUGAAACACAAGUGACCGGCUAGGAAACUAGCCUUUCGCAAGACACUUGUGCAGGUGAUGCAUGGUCGUCGUCAGUUCGUGGCUUGAGUUGUUCCCUUCAGUGGGGUAACGAACGCAACCCUCGUUGCCUGUUUUACAUGUCAGGCGAGACUGCCCCCUCACGGGGGAGGAAGGUGAGGAUGACGCCAGAUCAGCAUGUCCCUCUGAUAUCCUGGGCUGCACGCAUGAUACAAUGCACUCGACAACGGGUUGCGACGGAGUAAUCCUGAGCUAAUCCUUAUAAACGAGUGCCCAGUUCGGAUUGAGGGCUGCAACUCGCCCUCAUGAAGCCGGAAUCGCUAGUAAUCGCGGGUCAGCUAUACCGCGGUGAAUACGUUCUCAAGUCUUGUACACACCGCCCGU
rnacentral:rRNA from 1 species